rnacentral:rRNA from 1 species
GUCCACGCAGUAAACGAUGAAUACUAGCUGUAUGCGAUAUACUGUAUGUGGCAAAGCGAAAGCGUUAAGUAUUCCACCUGGGGAGUACGUUCGCAAGAAUGAAACUCAAAGGAAUUGACGGGGGCCCGCACAAGCGGAGGAACAUGUGGUUUAAUUCGAUGAUACGCGAGGAACCUUACCCGGGCUUGAAAUGCAUCUGACCGAUCAGGAAACUGAUUUUCUAGCAAUAGCAGAUGUGUAGGUGCUGCAUGGUUGUCGU